UUGAAUGAUUAAGUUGAAUUUUAAUGACUUAAGAAUUUUUGAUUAAAAUUAAAAAUUUAUGAUGUAUAGACCUUAUACUCGUAACAUAGAAAAAAAGUAUGUGAAAGUGAUCACAUUACAAACGGAAAUUUAACGAAAUAAUUUUUGUUUCGACUCCAACUUUUUGUGCAGCCACUGAAGCUUCUGAUUCAAUAUCCUGAUAAUCUUCAAUAAGCAAUGUUAGCAUCUGUAGCCAAUUAACAUUUGAUUUAAAAUUUUCAUCGUUUAAGGUUUUUAUUUCAUGAGUUAAUUCAUGAAUGAUUGCUCCAGUACGCCAACCGUGUUGUAGUGUUACAUCGGCCAGAUCAGAAUAAGGAUGAUCACCAAAAUAUAAAACUGAAUGGCCCCUCCAACCAUUUCGUCACACGAUCCCACAGAUAACUGUUUGUUUCCUCGUUGAAUUCACGUAAAGGCGUAGUAACGUUUGUAAAAAAACGUGGUUUUCUUGCUUGCACAAUUACAACAUCAAAAAAGUUUCUCCAAUUUUCUCCGACCAAGAAAGUCAUACCUUUAUCUCUACAAAGUUUCUUGCAGCCUUUGAAAAAAUUUUCGUAAAUCUGGAUUAUACUGAAUAUACUUAUCUGGGUCACUGUAAACUGUUUGAUGCAUAAUUGGAUGACUACUUUGUACUGAAUGUUUGACAUCAUUGAACAAAACUAGAAUAGAGAAUAUACUAAAUGUAUGUACACACAUGUGACUAAUUUGUAGAUUCUUACUUGCCGGAUGGCACAGAAAACAGGUCAGCCAAUUGAAUCAUAUUGGCCGUUUUGGCUUUAGGAUCCUGCAAAAAUAGACGUUUUUAUAAGAAGCAUACGAUUUUUAUAUAAGGAUAAAAUUUCCUCUGGAGGAACUGGAGUUAAGCCCCGAUAAACAGAUUCCAAUUGAAUUUGUAAAAAUGAAUCCAGUUUUAGCAGCAACCCUUUUUCUAUAUCGUAAUGUAAACCU